rnacentral:rRNA from 1 species
CACGUAGGGCGCAAGCGUUGUCCGGAAUUAUUGGGCGUAAAGAGCUCGUAGGCGGUCUGUUACGUCUGCUGUGAAAACCCGGGGCUUAACCCUGGGCUUGCAGUGGAUACGGGCAGACUAGAGGCAGGUAGGGGAGAAUGGAAUUCCCGGUGUAGCGGUGAAAUGCGCAGAUAUCAGGAGGAACACCGGUGGCGAAGGCGGGUCUCUGGGCCGAUACUGACGCUGAGGAGCGAAAGCAUGGGGAGCGAACAGG